UACGAAGGGGGCUAGCGUUGCUCGGAAUCACUGGGCGUAAAGCGCACGUAGGCGGAUUGUUAAGUCAGGGGUGAAAUCCUGGAGCUCAACUCCAGAACUGCCUUUGAUACUGGCGAUCUUGAGUCCGGGAGAGGUGAGUGGAACUGCGAGUGUAGAGGUGAAAUUCGUAGAUAUCAGGAGGAACACCGGUGGCGAAGGCGGCUUUCUGGACGACAACUGACGCUGAGACGCGAAAGCGUGGGGAGCAAACAGG
rnacentral:rRNA from 1 species